GGAAACUAAUCCUAGUCGGUUACAAUUGCCAUAGAUAGUUCGAUAUCAAUUCCUAUUCUAACCGACUAGAAUCCUGUUUGAUCUCCACGUCUUGUUUCCUUGCGCGAAACUCCGAGCUGUCGGAUCAAACCUUGAGCUUGUCUCGUAAUGGGUCAAGCCUCCUGGCCCAAGUCUGGCCGUAAGGGUAUAGGGGUUUAUACCCCCACACCUUUCGACGAGGGUUCAAUGUUUUAAGUCUUCUGAACAAGACUUCUCACCGUGUUCAUUCUUCAGGUGCGUCAUUUGGUUCAGGUGUGGACCUUGACGUCUGCACCUCUUGAUACAGUGUCACCAAUGUUCUACGUUUGCCUAGUAGUUCGAAGUGCGGCAUUGGCAGCAUCCUGCUCAAUCUGUUUGUGCUCGUAGAUCCAGGUCCUUCACUUGGUGAAGUCUGGGAGUUGUAAAACUCCUCCAUGUUUCUCAAAAUGUGUCCUGAUCAUAGAGACAAGGCAGUGAUCAAGUGCAUGUGUCCUGUUGGUGGAAAACAUCAACAAAACCAAAAGUAUAUUUAUUCUUCCCUAUCCUUAAGCAUAGGGAGCAAGACAAAGUUGAUGGGUGAUAAGUUCAUGAGUGUAGCAUUUAAAACAUUUGUCAGAUCAGAUCGCUCAACCUUAUGGAAAGAUAAUCUAUCUAUGUCUUUUUCUUUAUAUCUUCUCAAAGAUUGAAUGUGCAAUAUUUUAGCUCAUAUGAUUAGGAGUGUAGGAUCAUGGAGGUAGUACUAGGAACAAAGAUUAAAGGACUAAACAUGCUGAAUUAGUUGGGUUGGUUAAUUUGGAGUUAUAAAUCAUACAUAUCUGUCUCUUUAUUUAUGUGAACGCCAGAACCAAGGAGAAGCUUGUAAAAGUUAUAGUCACAUAUCUUAAAAUGUUACCUUAAUUGAAGAGUGAUAGUACCAUCUCACCUUGUGGAAGCUUCCCAGUCGUAGUGGCAGUGUAUCUUGUUUAUGUACUUUGUCUCCUUCCAUGGAUCAUCUCUCUAUGAUGAAUGAGCUAUGUCCUUCUUGUGCAAAUUGUUAAACUUCAUGUGUCUCUCUCUUCAUCUUCGAUGUGAGUUUAUCUCGGGACUUCCCAAAUCGAUAUUGAAAGUUUUUCUUACAGGGGUUAGUCCGAGAAAAUAUACCAAUGUCUACACAAGCAGUUUUUAGUUCAAUAAUCGAACUAGACUCCAUGUCUAAUCAGAUUAAGGAAGGCUGUUUAACCUAAGCACCAUGCUUAAUUUAAAAGCCAAUAGAAGUAUGUGGAGUACUUCCAAACUAACACUUACUAGGAUAAAUAAAGGUAGUGUGAUGACAUUUAUAGAGAUCUACUCAAGUGGAGAUGAAGUAGUGUGAUUAGUAUUUAACAAAUUGAGCAUGUCUCAAAGGUAGGGACAACCAACAUAGCAACAUGGCAAAGAAUGUUUUUAUGUAAGGUACUCCUCCAAGCUUGAUUUUUGCAAAAUUCCAGUUUGAAUGAAUUUAAUUCAGUGUUGCAUAAUGAUUGGUUGGACAUACCUUAUACUUGCUUGUCGUUCAUCCGAUCUUCUUGCUCCAAUCCUAGAAAGGUUAGUGACAAGAAUACCCGAAGGAAUAUUUUUACAAUUAUCCUUAUAUGCUCAAUACACCAGGUAAUGUUGCAAAUAAUUAAAAGCUCAUGUUACGAUCUGAUCAGUGCUUAUUUUAGGACACUAAGCUUGUCCUUGGGAAACCGUCAGUUUAUGUUGGCGAAGUGGUUUCCCCUCCGACGCCAACCUUUGUAUAUCAAGAUUAGCUCAAUGAGAUCUGUAAUAUUUAUUAUAGACAUAUGCAUCGACAACCGCCCUUUUAAAGUUUUUGUAAAUAGAAAGGAAGAGGGGGUUGGAGAUCUCAAAUGUGGUGAUGUUGGAGAGACCAAUAGUUUGGGAAGAUAUUUUAUAUGAGCAUGGAGUAAAUGAGGUGGGUAUGAAAUAAAUUCCAUGCUCAUUAAUGUUAUCUUCUUCUCUAAUCUGAAUGUUUAGAGUUUCUCUUGGAUUUGUCCCAUCUAUGUCCUCUUCUAUAGAUGGAUGAAUCUCAUAUUCAAGGGGAGUUAAAGACUCAACAUCUGAAAUUGAGCCAAGGUCAGAAUCCAUUAAGGCUUCUUCCUUGUCCUUCCUGAAAGGAUCAAGAUGCCCAAGAGGGGGGGGGUGAAUUGGGCUUCUCUAAAAAUUUAAGCAACCUAUAAGCUCCAAUUCAACCCCUUGUGCCUAGUGUGACCUAGAGAGCUACCGGAUAAAAGUUUUGCAACCUAGUUCCAAUCCUAUUCUAGCAAGGCAAUUCUAAGAAUGUAAAGACACAAAGUAAAUGCUAGAAUGUAAAGGAGUAGUGGAAGAAAGUGCUCAGCGAUGUUUUGCCAAGGUAUCGGAGAGUCGCCACUCUCCACUAGUCCUCGUUGGAGCACCCGCGCAAGGGUCUUGCUCCCCCUUGGUCCGCGCAAGGACCAAGUGCUCUCUACGGGCUGAUUCUUCGACACUCCGUCGUGGUGAAUCACCCAAAACCGCUCACAAGCUUGACACGAGCCACCCACAAGAACUCCGGGCGGUCUUCGUGCCUCCAAUCACCACCGAACUAUCUAGGUGAUGGCGAUCACCAAGAGUAACAAGCAAAGAACUCUCACUUGACCCAAACAAGGCUCUAGAGAGUGGUGGAUGCAUACUUGACUCUUGGAAAUCACUAGAGAAGGAUUCUCUCAAGAAAUCACUCAAAUCUCAAUCCUCUCUAGGCUCUUGCUACUCUCUUGCUCCACAACAAGUUUCUCAGAUGUUCAAAUGGGCAAGAGAGCUUUCAUAGACGAGGUGGAGGAGUAUAAAUACUACCCACGAAGUCCAAAGGUCAGCCAACCGUUUUCCACUGAAAACGGGGUCACCGGACGCUCUUUAUGUUGCACCGGACGCUCUGUACCGAGCGACCGGUGCUCCAUAAUGGCUAACUGUACCUGGGUCUGACAGGUCACUGGACGCUAACUUUCAGCGUCCGGUGGCACCAUCCGGUGCUCCGGGGAGUUUUACAUACUCCCUGCGCAUGGGACCGGACGCUACCCGGUGCGUCCGGUGCUAGCAUCCGGUGCUCAGGGGAAGAUUACAUCCUCCCUGGGUGUGGGAUCGGACGCUGCCCGGUGAGUCCGGUGCCAGCGUCCGGUGCUUAACCCUAAGCACCACACUGUUCCAAUGGCUAAGGACCUCACCGGACGCACUCACAGAGCGUCUGGUGCAGCGUUCGGUGCCCCCUUGGGCACCCUAACUUCGUCGAAACGCGAUCGCUCCAAAACGAAGUUGGUUCCUCUCGAUCUAAGGACUAUCUCUGAGAUGCCUAGUGCUAGGUUUACUAAGUGUGCACCACACCUAAACCUAAAGCCCUGCCUAAGUCAAGCUGCUAGAUCAAAGCCCCUCUUAAUAGUACGGUCAAAGGAAAACAAAGUCCUAAACUACUCUAAGUGCCCUUCUUCACCAUAUGGCACUUAGACCUAGUCUAGUCUUGACGAUGUCCAUCCAUCAUUUGAAAACCGAAAUGAUUUCCACUAUUAAGUAGGCAUGUACGUCCCUGUCCAUCGAGUACCUAUUACCAUGACCUUACCUAUGACUUUGCCUCUGCAAAACACACGUUAGUCAUAGUAAUCAAUAUUGUCAUUAAUCACCGAAAUCACUAGGGGCCUAGAUGCUCUUUCAAUCUCCCCCUUUUUGGUGAUUGAUGACAAUAACCUCGAGUAUGAAAGAGUUGAGGUAUUCAAAUGACUUGGUUUCAGUAAGCAUGAUACAAUAAGAACAAAGGGAUUAGGCAUGCUUAUAUCAACCAAGUCUAACAUCCUGCAUCCAAAUCUGUGAGUGGUAUACAACAGGAUAUAACACAAGGCUCAUAAGUACAUCGGAGUAAAAACGCGGAAGCAAAGGUAAUAUGAGCGAAACAUAUGACAUAAAGAUAUCACAAUUAAGCACAAGUCAUGUCUCACAACCAUAGUGUAUCUCACACAAAUGCAAUGCAUAAAGAUAAACAUGAUGCAUAAUGGAGUAGCACACAAAAGAGUAUAUCAAAAUAAUAAGCCACGGGAACGAACGAGAAGGGAAUCGGGCUCGGGGGCAGGGCGCCCGCCCACCGACCUUGGGCGCCCGCCCAGGCCAGGAGUCCAAUCAGGACUCUGCUUCGGGGCUAAACUCCACCGACCUAAAGGAUCAAUCUAAACCAUACAAUCUACGUCGGUUUGAUCCAAUGGCUCACGUUCACUUGAGGGGACUAUAAAACCAGACCCCCUGGACCCUGGAGGAGAGAAGAGAAGAGAAGAAAUCAUUAUUCAGAGGUAGCCAUCAAAGUUAGGGUUUAGAUCUUCUCUCCCAUAGAGAAUUAGAAUUAGCUACUCCCUAAUCCUUCAAGUUUAGAGGUUUGAUUAGAUAGCAAUUAGAGAAGUAGAGCACUAUGCUCUGGAUUCGGAUCUUCGGUAAUAAAGAUUGGUAUUAUUCAUAUCUUUCUCUAAUUCUUUGUUCUAAUUGCAUUAUGUCUCUAAUUAUUAUGUUCUUAGUUUGCUCUAGUUCUAUAUUUGAUAUAGUUCUAAUUGAUAAUGAGUUUAUGUAUAAGUUUGCAAAGCGCUUAGCUCUUGACGCGAGGGAGUUAGGUGAUAGAUCACAUGUGAGCGUGGUGCUUAGAUGUUAUUUAUCUGCAAAUGUAUCCUAUUGGCCGGGUCGUGUGGUAGUUCGCGAUAGUGACAGCUUCGUUGAUUCUUAUAUAGUCCACCCUCCGUUCAUAGGACAGGCAGAACCGGUAUUGUGGAGUAAGUCAUGCGAUGCUCUGAUUUACUUUAUCAAUGUUCCUUAUACAUGAAUGAAGAGUCUCUUAUGCUAUAUAUGAUCUUGUAGAUAACUAGAGUAGAUUAUGACUUAGUAGUUAGUAGAUAACUUAGAAUCCAUUCUCUAGCUAAUCCGACAUCACCUACAUAUAUGAGGAGUAUUCUAUUUUCUAAUCGAUGUGUUAUUUAUCCCUUGAACUUAUAAUUCAUUAUCAUUAUCUUUAUGGUUUACCCCCUGCUAAAGUAAGUGACUGUGUGACGAGUUUCUCAUUAGUAAUCAUGUUCUUGCAAGUUUAUCUCUAGUCUAUGCCUUGAUAGAUUUUGCCCUUAAUUUAAUCUCCUUAGAUUCCUUGAGCAAAAUUAUAAAUAACGAUACCUGGAAUACUUAUCCUGGGGAAAUGCUACAAUGAGGUGUUUUAUCUGUGCGCUUGCGGAUAGAAUAGAUUAUUUUCUAGAGAGCCUUUACAUUUAUAAAUACCUUUGUACACUCUGGCACCAUGCUGGGGAUGACAACCUAGUAUCUAAGUGGUGUUAGCUAGUGUCAACAAGCAUUUCUGGCGCCGUUGCCGGGGAAUCUCAUAAGAAAGUCAAAAAGGGAACAAAAGGGUAAUACUUAGGAACGGUAAGGAAAGCCAGAAAAUCAGUCAAGGUUAUUCAUAUAAAAUUUUAGACUAGACUGUAGAGAAAAUUGCAUAAAAACAGCUACUAAGUGAGAAAUCAUAACAAGGCACCUCUGCUUUGGCAGGUUCACCCUGUUGUUUUUCUAUGUUUAUAUUUUUAUACAGGGUAUAUCAGGAUUGACUUUGGGUACAUUCAACUCUUCAUCAUUAGAACCAAAGCAAUCAAGAAAAGAAGAAGCAAGCUACCAAUUGCUGAAGCUAUGGCACAGAAGACCCUACAAGAAUUCUCUGCUCCAAGUCUUGAGAACAUUCCAACUGGUCCAAGAUUUGCAGUAGAAGGAGUACCUGAGUUUGAGCUCAAGUCAAGCCUCAUCAAUUUGGUGCAAGCUACACAAUUCAGUGGAAAGGCACAUGAAGAUGCUAGUGCACACUUGCAGAAUUUCUUAGAGAUUGGAAGCACAAUCUACAUCAACGGAGUUGACAAAGACGUCAUACUGCUUCGCCUUUUUCCAUUCUCACUAGAAGGGAAAGCGAGGAAGUGGUUCUACACUCAUCAAGAUAACAUCAACAACUGGACGAACUUGUCAGAUGCCUUUCUAUCGAAGUUUUUCCCUAUAGGCAAAACAACUGCCUUAAGAGGAAAUAUUGUCAGUUUCCAACAGCAGAAGACAGAAACCAUUUCAGAAGCAUGGGAGCGUUUUCAAGGAUACAUAUCAGAUUGUCCUCACCAUGGAAUGGCCAUAUGGUUACUUAUGCAGACCUUCUACCAUGGAUUAACCUAGAAGGCUCGUGAGUGCCUAGAUGCAUCUGCUAAAGGAUCAUUCUUGGAGCUUACAAUUGGAAAAGCAGAGAUACUUUUGGAUAAGAUAGCAGAAAAUCAAAGCUGGUUCCAAGGUAAAGCUCAACAAUGUCAUCAUACUGAAGAAAUACCAAAAGAAGUAAAUGCAUUAUCAACUAAGAUGGAAAAUUUGCUCCAUUGGAUUGACCAGAGGGCCAAGUUCAAAGAAGAUCAAAGGGCCAUUGAGACAGCAUACAAAUAUCAACCAACUUCGAGUCAACCCAAUAGCAAAGGUAUGAAUUCAGGUAAUACUUUCAAGCAACUUUCAUUAAAAGAGAUAAUUGCUCAACAAACCAAAAUUAAUGAUGAAGUUAAACAAAGGCUAGAUACAAAUGAAUCAUCUCUAAAAGAUAUACACAAUAAAAUGGAUUUUCUACUAACUGCCUUUGAUGAGCAAAACACUCUUAAUAAAAGGGUAGAGCUUAAAUUAAUAAAGAUAGCUGCUGCACUGCCUGUUGCUACUAACCUUGAGCAGGUAAAGAAUAUAACUACUAGAGGAGGUAAAGCUACUAGAGAUCCCCCAUACCCAAAAGAGAAACAAAGAACAUCAGCACCAGUGCAACCAGCAGUGAUAGAAGAAGAAAGCCCAGUUGAAGCAAAAGAUCUGCUGCAACCACCAAGAAAUGGAGAAAUGAGGAAAGAUUUUUACGACACCAACUAUUUGCCAUUUCCUAGAAGAAACAGAGGACUGCAGUCGGAUGAGCAGUUUGGUAAGUUUGUAGAGGUCAUUCAAAAAAUAUAUGUCAACAUACCUCUGCUGGAUGCCAUGCAGGUACCUACAUAUGCAAAGUACAUCAGAGAUAUUCUUAACAAGAAGAGACCACUGCCCACCACUGAGGUUAUCAAGCUGACAGAAGAAUGUAGUGCGACCAUCCUCAACAAGCCACCAAGGAAGAAGGAAGAUCCAGGAUGCCCCACUAUUGACUGCUCGAUCGGAAACCAACACUUCAACAAUGCACUUUGUGAUCUCGGAGCAAGUGUCAGUGUGAUGCCAGCAUCAGUCUACAAAAAGCUUGAGCAUGCGACCUUAGAACCAACAUCAUUGUGCCUACAACUAGCGGAUCAAUCGGUUCGACAUCCGUUGGGUAUCGCCGAAAACAUUCCAGUCAAGAUCAGAGAUUUCCUUGUGCCAGUAGACUUCGUAGUAUUGGACAUGAGUCCUGACUCAAAAGUGUCCAUCAUCCUUGGAAGGCCAUUUCUGAGCACUGCCAAUGCCCACAUUGAUGUCGGAAAAGGAGAAACCAAGUUCAACAUAAACGGUCAAGAAGAACACUUCACAUUCAAACCCAGACCAGAGAGAGACUCUACAGUGAAGGAAGUUCAUGAAGAACCACUGGAGACACCAUCUCCGGAGGAAGGUAAUUCAGAAGAUUAAAAGAUUUGGAGGUCCAGCUUGGGGGACCUAAAAAUCCCAAACCCUCACCGAGAGGUAAAUCGGUAUUUAUCCGCAAUAUUUUUCUCAUGUUUAAAUUAUUGCAUAAUUAAUUCUUGCAUUAGUCAUAUAUAUUCAUAGCAUUAGUAUAAUAAUCAAAAGCCCCAUAUAAAUAAUAUUCAUGGUGUGUAACAACGCAUAUUUAUUAAUUAUUGUGGAGGCACAAAAAUAUUUUCCAUUAUCAUUUUAAUUAAGUUUCAAUUCUCAUAGAUUUUCCUGCAUUAUAUUUAAUUAUAUUAACCUUGUAGAAGCAUGACCCACACUCUUUGGGUCCCACAUGUCAUACAACUCACAUACAUCCCAUCACAUAAUUUUAUCCACCAAUAUGUUUCCACUUACCUGACAUCUUUUCACCGUCCAACCACCACCAACACAACAUUAUUCUGCGUGAGAUCAAAGCAAGGAAGCAAGUGGAGGAGGCACACCCAGGAUGGACACCAGGAGUGGGCGCCCGCCCACCUACCAAGGGCGCCCGCCCUGCUCCCUCUUCCUCCUAUAAAUAGCCACCUUCUACCUCCAUCCUCUUCACACAAACACUCCAGAAAACCACACAAGUAUCAGUUUCCAGAAAGAGCUCUUGUAGUGAAGAGAGAAGAGAGUAGAGAGAAAGAGAAGAGUGGGAAAGAAGUUGAUAGAGAGUGAGUAUCACCUAGCAAGUAGUGAUCCCGCUGUCUAAGCGGAAGUAAAAGUUGUUUAGGGGGAGGCUCUACCAAAAUAGAAACUUGUCUUGAAUGACUAACCCCUGGACUACUGACAUUCCGGACAGCUGACCACUAACAUUUUCUCUCACAUUUUCCACUAGUUGUGUUUUUGCCAACUUUUGUUUGCAGGAUGUUUAAGAAGGUGAAGAAUGCAGGAAAGGCUCUCAAGAACAUUGGUACAAGGAGUUCAGCCCGACACUCCUCAAAGCCAUCAGAGAUGAGCGUCGACCCGACACCCACACAAGCUCCAUCAUCUUCAUCAGGUCAGCAAGUUAAGGCCCUUCUCAAGAUAGGAGACCUUGGACUGAAGACCCGAAGGGAGAAAGAAGUAUAUCAACAACUGAAGAACAAAGAUUUGAUUCACACCCCUACUCUUGAUCCAAUCUUACUACAAGAAACAGGUAUGGACACUGAAUUUGACUUAAUUUUCCAGAUGUUAGGUUGGACAAAUUUUUGGAACAUAACUGAGCUGGGUUCUCGUCUUCUCACCCUCGAAUUUCUUUGCACUUUACAAUACUAUGAGGGGGUAAUUGUUUUUCGGAUGUUCAAACAGGAAAUUAUGUUGUCUUGGAGAGAGCUGAGCGACCAUCUUGGUUUCUCUUCAAGAUGCAUCCUAAAUAUUGACUCCGAUUUACCCAAUUUUGAGAGACAUCAGUUUUGGAGAGAAAUAUCUAGAGAUAAUUUUUAUAGUCAAGCCCGAACCAGUGACAUGGAACACCCCACUCUUAGGAUGUUCCACAAAUGGCUUGGGUACAAUCUUUUCUAUCGUGAUGAUAUUAGGAAAGUAAGAGUAGGAGAUUUACAACUUUUAUAUGCUGCUAUUAAUAAAGUACCUACUUCACCUGUUACACUUUUAGUUUCUCAUUGGCUUUGUAUACCUAGUCUGCAGGGACCAGUAGGAUGUACUUCACUUAUCACUCGUCUAGCCUUUAAUCUUCACUUACUAGAAAACUCGUCAUUGGACUUCAUAAAUGAGUUAAGAAUUUAUCAUGGCUAUGACACAUUUAGACAAGCUCGGAUGUUAAAGAAAGAGGGAAAUGUAAUGUAUAUGCUAUAUGAUGAUAAAGGCAAGAUUCGGUUACCUAACCCGAAUCUUGGCCUCUACGUUGUUCAAAUUUUUUUGAUUGAGAUUGCAGCAACACCAGUGAACCAGAGAACUCCACAGCGAGUGGCAUCUGAAAGGGUGACCACCCACCGAGAACGCACCUGGUAUGGAGCUGACCCUGGACUAGAAGAAGCAGCGCACCUGCAUUAUUGCGAUUACAACCCUCGAGUCCUUCGAGACCCAUGGGUUCGACAUGCGCAACCACAAGAGCCAACAGAGGAGACAUGGCCGGAGAGCAAAGAUCACCAGUGGACAAACCCGCCUUUUCAUACGGGCAGGUACUCCACUGAUCCAUAUGGAGCUUCAGGAUCCAGACCUCCGCCCCAAUUUGAUGCAGGACGAUACUCCGAUGCCUCCUACGCCUUCACGAAUGACUACUAUCAAGAGGCCGGUGCUUUCUUCACUCGUACCGACAACACCCUCCUCGACAUCCAAAACACGCAAGCAGAACAUGGAAGACUCCUGGAAGAGCAACAAAAAUGGAACCAGGACCAUGCCGCUGCAGUGCAAGAACUGAGACAAGAUACAACAACAAUGAAUGACAACAUCACAACCAUGAUGUGGUUCUGGAACAUCGGGUAAGACCGACAGUAACAUCCAGCUUGGGGGAGUUCCUCCCCAAUUUAUCAAGUAAGUUUAUAUUUGCUCUUCUUAUUUAUUCUUUUCUAUUUUAGUAUUUUAUCUUAAAGAGAAAAACUUAGAAAACCCAAUAAAUAUUUUCUUGCUUUAAUUUACUACAUUUUAUAAACAUGAAAACAAAAUAAAAAGAGUAUGUAGAUAAGUGUGCUUUAUUUUAUCUGUUAAGUACAAAUCUCUAGAAAAAACAAAGAUGCAUGAUGGAAAUGAUGAACAGUUGCUCUGUUUGCUUACUUACAAGUACCUAGCUUUUAUAUUAGAGUUCUUCCAGGAAUUACUAAAACUGAAAUUACUACCUUUGGGAAGCAUAAAACUAAAGUCUAGGUAAGCGAAAGGCAUAAUAUAAAGUUGAGCUACUGUUUAUCCUCCUGUUCCUACUACACUAAGUUCUGGAGAUUUAUUUUUGAAAACUUACAAAUCACAUGAUGAGUUCCUAGCAUAACAAAGCUACCUACCACAGCCAUACUUGCUAUAACAUCUUUUACUAUAUUUUGAGUUUGAUCGAGCUGUGUAGACCCUUAGGAGCUUUUCAUGUGGUUAAAUUAAGAUAUUCACUUGCACACAUCUACUACACCAUCCAUCACCAUUCAUUAAAAUUGUUAAAAAAUAUUAUCACUCACUGCCCCAAAUAUUGUUAUUCUCUCUCUCUCUAAAAAGAUUCAAUGCAGAAGAGACAUGGGUUAUGCAAAAAUAUGCGAGGAAAUAAAAAGGGGCAAGUGCCCGGAACCUCGAAAAAGAAAGAAAAAGAGUGAGACGAGAGGUAAAAAUGGACAAGUGUCCGAAGUAGAAUUAGGGGUACAAAGAUGCCCACUUGAGCGGAAAAAAUGGACAAAUGUCCGACAGUAGAAUUAGGGGUAUCUACUACCCACCUGAAAAAAAAGAAAAAAAAGAGAUAGCCCAUGUUCUCCCAAAGCAAAGAUCAAAGAAGAUGAGAGAUAGCAAUAUGAGGAGCAAUGAGAACUAAGUCUUAUUAUCACUUAUAUAUUUUUAUCAUCACUAUCAUUUACUGUAUCGCACAUGCACAUCUUGAUUUAAUUAUAUGCUGAGUUCCUUUGGAUCCAUGGCUCGAUUAGACAACAUAUGUAUGAGCUGUUUUUCACUCCUAUGAGCUCCACUUAAAUAUUCCAUUAGCUAUAGGUAAGUGACAUUAUGGUAAAGAUCCACAAAUACCACAUAUAGAGAGACUUGAGAGAAUCAUUGCUGAGAACUCUGAGUUUUAUUUUGAAAACUUAUGCAAAACUCUGGAACAAAGGUGAAGUAUAAACAAGGGGGAUAGUGCUUGACUUAACUAUUUUGUCUUUCGAUUACUUAAGACUUAAGUGCAGGUACUAAAAUCCAUAACACUUCACUUUAAUCUGGAAGAAUUUUUAUAAAAGCAUGUGUGCCUGUCAGGAAAGAAAACAUCGAAGCAACUCCUGAUCCAUGUGAGUUUAGUUGUUUGCUCAGGGACGAGCAAAGGGUAAGCUUGGGGGAGUUUGUUGACGGUCCUUAAGUACUAAAAUUAAUAAUCAAAUAAACAUGAAAAAGGAUCAAUAUGAAACAAACAUCUAGAAUUAGGGUUUUAUCUGACAGAAUUCCACGAGCUUUGGUGUUUAUCUAUUUCUGCAGGGGGUUAUCAGAGAAUAUGGAGAGAAGGCCCACAUGUCAUGUUUACAAUGAGAUAAUUACGUGCCGCGCAAUUUUCCUCAAUCUAGAAGAAUCCAGAAGCCACGGGAACGAACGAGAAGGGAAUCGGGCUCGGGGGCAGGGCGCCCGCCCACCCCCCUUGGGCGCCUGCCCAGGCCAGGAGUCCAAUCAGGACUCUGCUUCGGGGCUAAACUCCACCGACCUAAAGGAUCAAUCUAAACCAUACAAUCUACGUCGGUUUGAUCCAAUGGCUCAUGUUCACUUGAGGGGACUAUAAAACCAGACCCCCUGGCCCCUGGAGGAGAGAAGAGAAGAGAAGAAAUCAUUAUUCGGAGGUAGCCAUCAAAGUUAGGGUUUAGAGCUUCUCUCCCACAGAGAAUUAGAAUUAGCUACUCUCUAAUCCUUCAAGUUUAGAGGUUUGAUUAGAUAGCAAUUAGAGAAGUAGAGCACUACGCUCUGGAUUCGGAUCUUCGGUAAUAAAGAUUGGUAUUAUUCAUAUCUCUCUCUAAUUCUUUGUUCUAAUUG
rnacentral:lncRNA from 1 species